GUUAAAAACUGAUGAGUAACGUGGUGGCUUUAUUGGGAGGAAUAACCAGUGACAGGAACAAGUCUCCGGGGAAAUGAUGUUACAUUUUGGAACAGGUUAAUUUUGAGGUGCUUGAGGGAUGUCCAGGUGGAAAGGUAAAGCAGCCACUUAAAGAUCAGAGCCUAGGGUGGAGCUUGGGGUGCCUAGGGCUCACAAAUGCUGGGCUGAGCUCACCUGGGCCGGCCUGCAGAUCACACCUUCCCUUAGGUGUACUUCCGGGAGGUGGGGCUGGUGGAGAGGCCAGGAGAGAACCCUCUGUUCUCCACGGAAGUUGACUCUGUGUCACCGUGCAAAUAUGUAAUGGGUCAGGCUCUCACCCGUCACCAUUUCCUGGGGGCAGGGUGAGUGUUACAAAGGUUGGCGUCUGGAGAAUGCAGGGCUGUAUGUGGCCCCACUUCCGCAGGGGGCUGCUAUCCUGACCAGAGUGUCUUCCCAUCUCUGAGCCCCUAUCAGAAGGUGGAGGAAUUUGGGCUGCCCUCCUCCAGCCAGCCCCAAGCACACUAAAGUCAGGAGAGAUCAUCACACAGCAGGAACAGCACUUCUCCAGGGUGCUGAGAAAGCACUCUCUCCUGGGGUGCCAGCUGCCUGGACUUGCUGCCAGUGGACAGGACAGGAAGAGGGACAGUUAUGGGGGGUGGAACCGUUCCUGAUGUCUGCAUCCCACCCCUGCUGGCCUCCAAGGAAGAUGAUUCACUGGCAUCCUCUCCAGUGGACUUGGGGAGAAUCCAUCCCCUCAACCGGAACAAGGAAAACUGCUUCCUCUGGACUCAGGACUAGAAAAUAAACUCCUGAGUACUAAGUAUUAAGAGGACAAAAUGAAAACGGACAAAGGAGCUUCUUGUAAGCUGGGAACAGCACACAGACAUUGCUUAGAAAGCAAGAGUGAUUUAACUGCACCCAUACCCAAAGUCCUGCCUGCCAAGUGAAGGAAGCUGAAGCGAGGCUGCCUAAUGUGAGGUGUGCUUCUGAUAACAGGGAUCUAGUAUUUAAAGGUUGUUCCUCCCUUGAGGAAUCUUACCUGUCUCUGGCUAACCAGCCAUCUUCCGGGGCCAUACAGGGAGAUGUAAAGCUGAAGCUGAGCUAGGCUGAUGGUUCUGACUCUAAAUAUGAGCUUGGAAGUAAUGAGCAGAGGUGAUGGUAAGUCUUCAGAAUGCGUAUUUCCUGGAAAGGUUAUUAAGUCAGAUUAAUGAUACCAAAGAAAAAAAAAAAGCAGUCCUACUUGACCUGAAAUCCCCAAGGACUCGACCCAGCUGAGUCUGUCCCUGCUUACUCGACUGACAAACGAUACCAGUGACAUCUCAGAAAGGAAAUCAGAUGACAACAGAAAUCAAAGAAGCUCAGCUGACAGGAACCCCAGCAGCCGGGGACCCAUUUCAGAAGCAAGUGUUGGUGAUGUUGGCAGAUAGCUCAUGUCUCCUGCUUCAGGAGAUGAUGGGCUGGAGGCCCCAACUGCUGAAGACCCCUUUGGCCUCUCUGUGUGUGUACUGAGCCACAUGCCAGCUGGAAGAUUGGUUAUAUCUGUCUCACCAGGCCCUGUCUCUGGUGUUUGAGUGAUUUUAGACUGGACCAGGUUCUUCUGCAUUUUCAUGGGGAUAGACAUGAUUGCCGGCGAGUGGCAGGACUACAAGGCAAAAAUACUGAGGAUCUCAAAUAUUCAUACCCCAGGAUCUGCUUCAUCCGGGUAACUGAGGCAAGAGGGACAUUGGGAGGAUCUCCAAGAGCCCACAGCUCCGGACCCUGGAGGAACUACAGUCCCUGUGGCUGGAACGCUGCACCCUGAGCACAGCCUGUCCCUGCUGUGGGCGGCUCAUCGUGGGGCUGGACCCAAGUUGGCUGGUCACACCAAGGACAGACGUGCCUUCUGAGUGUGGCUGACACUUCCCUGAGCAGCAUAGCUCUGGAAGAACAUGCAGAGUUCUGCCCAUCUGAAACCUAGAAGACCUUUGUAUGUUCCCUUGAAACAUUUGCACUGAAAAAGUUGCCCAUGAGUCAAAUAGUCAUAAAUAAACGACCUGACUGCCCACUGUUCGGAAAACACACGA